UGGGGAAUAUUGCACAAUGGGCGAAAGCCUGAUGCAGCGACGCCGCGUGAGGGAUGACGGCCUUCGGGUUGUAAACCUCUUUCAGCAGGGAAGAAGCGAAAGUGACGGUACCUGCAGAAGAAGCGCCGGCUAACUACGUGCCAGCAGCCGCGGUAAUACGUAGGGCGCAAGCGUUGUCCGGAAUUAUUGGGCGUAAAGAGCUCGUAGGCGGUUAGUCGCGUCUGCUGUGAAAAUCUCGAGGCUCAACCUCGGGCUUGCAGUGGGUACGGGCUGACUAGAGUGCGGUAGGGGUGACUGGAAUUCCUGGUGUAGCGGUUAAUGCGCAGAUAUCAGGAGGAACACCGAUGGCGAAGGCAGGUCACUGGGCCGCAACUGACGCUGAGGAGCGAAAGCAUGGGGAGCGAACAGGAUUAGAUACCCUGGUAGUCCAUGCCGUAAACGUUGGGCACUAGG
rnacentral:rRNA from 1 species